rnacentral:RNase_P_RNA from 1 species
GCGCCGGCAGCCGGCGACAGCAAGUGCCACAGAGAAUAUACCGCCCGCAAGGGUAAGGGUGAAAACGUGAGGUAAGAGCUCACGGCUUUCCCGGGCGACCGGGAUCGCGGUAAACCUCAGGAGUUGAAAAACCAAAUAGGUUCUGAAAGCGGAGUUGCUCGCUCCCGUGCCCGUAAGGGCCGUCAGAAUGGGUAGGUUGAUAAAGCAUGCUGGUAACAGCAUGAUCAGAUUAAUGAUAGAAAUCUCCGUUAGGAGAUACAGAACCCGGCUUACAGAUUUGCUGCUGUA